rnacentral:tRNA from 1 species
GCGCCGUUAGCUCAAUUGGUAGAGCAGGGGCCUUUUAAGCCCAAGGUUGAGGGUUCGAUUCCCCCACGGCGCA